UUGAGCAACCUAAAUACCCUAAAAGUGCUAGAAAACAUCUGGUCUUAGAAGCUAAGGAGGAUCAACUCUAGUUAGUACUUAGAUGGGAGUCCACCAAUGAAUAUCAGGUGCUGUAGACU
rnacentral:rRNA from 11 species